CAGCCGCCGCGGUAAUACGUAGGUGGCAAGCGUUGUCCGGAAUUAUUGGGCGUAAAGCGCGCGCAGGUGGUUUAAUAAGUCUGAUGUGAAAGCCCACGGCUCAACCGUGGAGGGUCAUUGGAAACUGUUAAACUUGAGUGCAGGAGAGAAAAGUGGAAUUCCUAGUGUAGCGGUGAAAUGCGUAGAGAUUAGGAGGAACACCAGUGGCGAAGGCGGCUUUUUGGCCUGUAACUGACACUGAGGCGCGAAAGCGUGGGGAGCAAACAGGAUUAGAGACCCCCGUAGUCCCUGUCUCUUAUAC
rnacentral:rRNA from 1 species